GGGGUUAUAGCUCAGUGGUAGGGUGCUUGCUUGCCUUGCACAUGUGAGGCACUGAGUUCAAUCCUCAGUAGUACCA
rnacentral:tRNA from 1 species